AUGGCAUUUAACCAGUAUAAGCACAACCCACUUUCAUGCAAGAAAAUGGAUCCUGAAGGUGCAAUUGCCAACGGAAGCAUACACUUGCAAUGGACUGAAGAAGAAGACCUGCAACUGGUAAGACAUUGUUUUCACUAUCUUCAAUGGUUGCUUUCUAUUAUUAUUGCUAAUUACUAUAGUAUGUUCAACAUGCAGAUCUUUGCGUGGUUAAACAACUCAAUUCAGGCUAUCGAUGAAAAUUUAGAGGAUUUGUGGAACCAAAUCGCCAACGAUUUCAAUGAAAAUAGUCUUCAUGAACGACGGAGGCAGUCAAUCCAAUGCAAGCGACACUGGUAUAAGCUGAAUAAUAGAAUUGUCCUAUUUCAUAGUAUGUGGCGUAGGGUGAGAGAUUUGUACAUUACUUGCAGAUCUAGUGAUGAAUUAGUGUCUAGAGCACUUGAUAUGUACAGGUCAGAAACAAACAAGUCCUUCAAAGAUCUGAACUCAUGGAGUGUGCUAAGGAAUGAGCCCCAUUGGAACUUGAUCAACUUCCAGUGA
rnacentral:rRNA from 1 species